UAGGGAAUCUUCCGCAAUGGGCGAAAGCCUGACGGAGCAACGCCGCGUGAGUGAUGAAGGUCUUCGGAUCGUAAAACUCUGUUAUUAGGGAAGAACAAAUGUGUAAGUAACUAUGCACGUCUUGACGGUACCUAAUCAGAAAGCCACGGCUAACUACGUGCCAGCAGCCGCGGUAAUACGUAGGUGGCAAGCGUUAUCCGGAAUCAUCGGGCGUAAAGCGCGCGUAGGCGGUUUUUUAAGUCUGUUGUGAAAGCCCACGGCUCAACCGUGGAGGGUCAUUGGAAACUGGAAAACUUGAGUGCAGAAGAGGAAAGUGGAAUUCCAUGUGUAGCGGUGAAAUGCGCAGAGAUAUGGAGGAACACCAGUGGCGAAGGCGACUUUCUGGUCUGUAACUGACGCUGAUGUGCGAAAGCGUGGGGAUCAAACAGG
rnacentral:rRNA from 1 species